rnacentral:tRNA from 1 species
GGGGGCGUGGCCGAGCGGUUGAAGGCAGAUGUCUUGAAAACAUCCAGGCGAUGAGCCUCGUGGGUUCGAAUCCCACCGCCCCCUCCA